GCGCGAAAACUUUACAAUGCUGGCAACAGCGAUAAGGGAACCUCGAGUGCCAGGUUACAAAUCUGGCUGUCGAGAUGCCUAAAAAGCAUUUCAUAGCAAGGGCCGGGCAAGACCGGUGC
rnacentral:rRNA from 1 species